rnacentral:lncRNA from 1 species
AAUGUACGAUCGAUGUCUUAUAUGCAUUGAGGGUUUAUUUGAAAGAAAAGUAGAGCCCACAUAUACAUAAAUCUUCUACAUGACACAAACACAAUUGCUUAAGAAAUACAUACACAUAAUACACAGGAAAACACAAUGGAAAUGGAAGGCCUAAAACCAAAUACAGAAAGUAAAACAAACUUUAACUAACAUCAUAAUUAAGUUAACAACUAAGAAAGCCAAAUUAAGUGAGAGUGCCGCAGGAUCAUGAGGAUAAUAACCUUACAUAAUUAGUGAUUAAUUAUGACGAUCAUCACUUCUUCAAGAAUCCCUGAGCCACCUUAAGAUAAUCACCAAACCCACCUGAUCCACCCUCCUCCUCCUCCUCAUCCUUUUUACCAUGUUUCUUCUUAGUCUCAUGCUCUCCGCUCACCGGAUAGUUCUCAUCAUCGUCUCUUCUCUCCUUCCCCACACCAUGCUUAUGAGACUCGGAAGAGUAGUGGCCUCCUCCUCCAGAGUUAUGAGACUCAGAAGAGUAGUGGCUUCCUCCUCCGCCGCUUCCGCCGCCGCCGCUGCCGUACUUGUGAAGCAUAUCCUCAGCCCUUCUAACAUAACUCCCAAGUCCUUCUUUCUCGUCCAGCUUCCCAUAGUGCGCGGCAGCGCUUAGGAUGUUACU